AUUGAACGCUGGCGGCAGGCCUAACACAUGCAAGUCGAACGAGUGGCGGACGGGUGAGUAAUGUCUGGGAAACUGCCUGAUGGAGGGGGAUAACUACUGGAAACGGUAGCUAAUACCGCAUACCAUCAGAUGUGCCCAGAUGGGAUUAGCUUGUUGGGGGGGUAACGGCUCACCAAGGCGACGAUCCCUAGCUGGUCUGAGAGGAUGACCAGCCACCCUGGAACUGGUGCACGGUCCAGACUCCUACGGGAGGCAGCAUUGGAGAAUAUUGCACUAUGGGCGCAAGCCUGAUGCAGCCAUGCCGCGUGUAUGAAGGGGGCCUUCGGGUUGUAAGGUUCUUUCAGCGGGGAGGCGUUACCCGCAGAAGAAGCCCCGGCUAACUCCGUGCCAGCAGCCGCGGUAAUUC
rnacentral:rRNA from 1 species